UGCCUUUGUAUUGCCUGUUCAUUGUCUCAAAAAUGAAUGGGUUACUGAAGGAGGCAUACAGCAAUUCUUGAGGUUGUCUUUGAUUGGUGCCUACUGAAUCCUUUCUUUGUGCUCAACUGCAAGAACAUUG